rnacentral:lncRNA from 1 species
UGAAUGCUCUCUCAGGCACUUUUCAGGGUCUCCGCCUCCAUUUUACGACUUCUUCACCGACAUUACAUAGCAUUGUUCUGGGAGUAUAGCAGCGGGUUGGAUGAGGUUAAUGGGAGUAAUAAGGAGCAUAAUGGGCAGCUGGAGAGCUGGGACUGGAGGGAGACUGAUUCUCUUGCUACCCCAUGAGCCAGAUCCUACAAGCAAUGGGGAAGUCCUAUCAUCCAGGCUGUUUCCGAUGCAUUGUUUGCAACAAGUGCCUGGAUGGCAUCCCCUUCACAGUGGACUUCUCCAACCAAGUAUACUGUGUCACCGACUACCACAAAAAUUAUGCUCCUAAGUGUGCAGCCUGUGGCCAACCCAUCCUCCCCUCUGAGGUCAGUAUGUCUGGGUUCUCCUUCAGGGCAGCCAGUGCCACUGCCUUUGGGGAGGGGAUAGGGACAUGCUGCCUGGCCUCCUGCCAGAAGUGGUAGUGCCAAGGAAUGUACUCUGUGAAGAUUCCCGUGUGACUCUGCCUCUUGGGGUCACCACCCUGACCCUAAUAUCCGGGCCUGGACAUGU